rnacentral:rRNA from 1 species
UACAGAGGGUGCUAGCGUUAUUCGGAAUUACUGGGCGUAAAGGGCUCGUAGGCGGUUUAUCAAGUGAGAUGUGAAAUCCCCGGGCUUAACCUGGGAACUGCAUCUUAAACUGAUAGGCUGGAGUACUGUAGAGGAUAGUGGAAUUUCCGGUGUAGCGGUGAAAUGCGUAGAGAUCGGAAGGAACAUCAGUGGCGAAGGCGACUGUCUGGACAGAUACUGACGCUGAGGCGCGAAAGCGUGGGGAGCAAACAGG